GGCGAUGUCGUCACCAGCACCAUAACAUAUGGAAAAUAUUCUGACGACCUCGGCCAACGGUUGACUGUUGUGUGUGCAGUUUUUGUUUGAUUGGACUUUUUCCAACAAACUUAAGUUCCGGGUUGCUACUAAUGGACUUUCCAUAUAAAAAACUGCAGCAACGCGGAAACGUUUUAGAAGUCAGCUGUGUUGGAGUGGAGCCGUGGUUGGAGUCAAACGCGUUGGAGUCGGGUCGGGUCGGAAGUUCUGUUUGGAGAUUUUUCGGUUAUUUAAGUUUAAGCCUCACUUGACAGCGAGGGAUAAAAGAAGCAGGACUCCAUCGCGCCCAAGGGAUAAGCGCGCCAAGUUGGAUACUUGGCUGGACUUGGGUGCGAACCACACUCUAAUAGGAGACUUCUCGAAC